GGUGAACGCUAGCGGCGCGCCUAAUACAUGCAAGUCGUGCGAUCGGACCCGGUGAAGCCCCUUCGGGGGUGGAACUGGGUUACGGAGCGGCGAACGGGUGAGUAACACGUAGCUAACCUGCCCCCGCGACGGGGAUAACCCGGGGAAACCCGGGCUAAUACCCGAUGGUCUCCCGGGGUCAAAAGAUCCCGGGAGUAAAGGCGCUUCGGCGCCGCGCGGGGAGGGGGCUGCGGCCCAUCAGCUAGACGGUGGGGUAAUGGCCUACCGUGGCUAUGACGGGUAGGGGGCCUGAGAGGGUGGCCCCCCACAUGGGGACUGAGACACGGCCCUGACUCCUACGGGAGGCAGCAGUAGGGAAUCUUGGGCAAUGCCGGAAACGGUGACCCAGCGACGCCGCGUGGGGGACGAAGCCCUUCGGGGUGUAAACCCCUUUUCUGGGGGAAGAAUAAGGCGGGGAGGAAAUGCCCCGCCGAUGACGGUACCCCAGGAAUAAGCCCCGGCUAACUACGUGC
rnacentral:rRNA from 1 species